AACGGCCAUACCAUGCUGAAUAUACCGGUUCUCGUUAGAUCACCGAAGUCAAGCAUCAUUGGGCGCGGUCAGUACUUGAGUGGGUGAUCACCUGGGAACAUAGCGUGCCGUU
rnacentral:rRNA from 1 species